ACCCUGGUGGCUCAAUGGUUAAGCCCUCGGCUGCUAACUGGAAGGUUGGUGGUUUGAAUCCACCCGGUGGCU
rnacentral:tRNA from 1 species